rnacentral:misc_RNA from 1 species
CUGAGAUUGAAGAUAAUGGCAUACUUCGCUUAACAAACGACACUCUCCGCUUGAAAGGCCAUGCUUUUUACUCCAAUAAAAUCCAAUUCAAGAACUCUAGCACUGGCAGAGCUCUCUCCUUCUCCACCGCCUNNNNUUCGCCAUAGUUCCUGAAUACCCAAAGCUCGGCGGCCAUGGUUUUGCUUUCACCAUCUCUCCCUCAAAGGAGCUCCCAGGGUCUCUUCCAAGCCAGUACCUAGGCCA